rnacentral:rRNA from 1 species
UGACAAUAAAUACUGAUACAGGGCUCUUUUGGGUCUUGUAAUCGGAAUGAGUACAAUUUAAAUCCCUUAACGAGGAACAAUUGGAGGGCAAGUCUGGUGCCAGCAGCCGCGGUAAUUCCAGCUCCAAUAGCGUAUAUUAAAGUUGUUGUGGUUAAAAAGCUCGUAGUUGAACCUUGGGCCUGGCUGGCCGGUCCCCCUCACCGGGUGCACUGAUCCAGCCGGGCCUUUCCCUCUGUGGAACCCCAUGGCCUUCACUGGCUGUGGCGGGGAAACAGGACUUUUACUUUGAAAAAAUUAGAGUGCUCCAGGCAGGCCUAUGCUCGAAUACAUUAGCAUGGAAUAAUAGAAUAGGAC